rnacentral:rRNA from 1 species
UACGAGGGGUCCUAGCGUUGUUCGGAAUCAUUGGGCGUAAAGAGUAUGUAGGCGGCUAGAUAAGUCAGGUGUGAAAUCCCCGGGCUCAACCCGGGAAGUGCAUUUGAUACUGUCUAGCUUGAGUAUGGAAGAGGGUAGUGGAAUUCCUGGUGUAGUGGUGAAAUACGUAGAUAUCAGGAGGAACACCGGUGGCGAAGGCGGCUGCCUGGUCCUAUACUGACGCUGAGAUACGAAAGCGUGGGGAGCAAACAGG